UACGGGGGGGCAAGCGUUGUUCGGAUUCACUGGGCGUAAAGGGUGCGUAGGUGGCCAGGUAAGUUUGGUGUGAAAGCUCGGAGCUUAACUCCGAAAAGUCAUUGAAUACUAUCUGGCUGGAGGGUCGGAGGGGAGACUGGAAUUCUCGGUGUAGCAGUGAAAUGCGUAGAUAUCGAGAGGAACACCAGUGGCGAAGGCGAGUCUCUGGACGACUCCUGACACUGAGGCACGAAAGCUAGGGGAGCAAACAGG
rnacentral:rRNA from 1 species